rnacentral:rRNA from 1 species
CUUGACUGUAGCCUGGAAUUGGGUUCGGGCUUUUCUUGCGCAGACUAGGUGGGAGGCUAUGAAGAUUUCCUUCCGGGGAAGUUGGAGCCAACAGUGAGAGACCACUCUGGAAAGGCUAGAAUCCUCAUGGUGAUCCUUGAAUCAGGACACUUGACAGUUUCAGGCGGGCAGUUUUUCUGGGGCGGAAACCUCAUAAAAGGUAACUGAGGUGCGCAAAGGUUCCCUCAGUCUGGACGGAAAUCAGACAUUGAGUGUAAAGGCAAAAGGGAGCUUGACUGCAAGACCCACAAGUCGAGCAGGAGCGAAAGCUGGCCUUAGUGAUCCGACGGUUCCACGUGGAAGGGCCGUCGCUCAACGGAUAAAAGUUA